GUGAAGGUCGUCGUCGAAAAACUAAGAGAAACUUUGUUUGGUUUAAAUUUCUUCCAAAAAAAACCUUUUUAUUUUCAAUUAUUUCAUUUAAUUAGGAGAAGAAAGAAAAUUUUUUAUACACAAGAAAUAACCAUCGUCAAGAGGAGACGUCAGAAUCAGAUUAGUGAGAACGAGAGCACUAUAUUAUGAAAUCAAAGAAGCAAAAAAAAACGAAAUGGAAUUGAGGAACACUACACACACACACAAACACGCUAACUGGAAAGAACACUUUACACGCAGAAAGAAAAACGAAUUGGAAUAUGGAAUUGGAAAGAGAGAGAUGAGAAGAAAUAAGAAGAAAAGAAAUUGGGCGCUGGCGAAAAAUAUGAUUUUUUUUUCUUCUUUUG